rnacentral:rRNA from 1 species
UACGUAGGGACCAAGCGUUGUUCGGAUUUACUGGGCGUAAAGGGCGCGUAGGCGGCGCGGUAAGUCACUUGUGAAAUCUCUGAGCUUAACUCAGAACGGCCAAGUGAUACUGCAGUGCUAGAGUGUGGAAGGGGCAAUCGGAAUUCUUGGUGUAGCGGUGAAAUGCGUAGAUAUCAGGAGGAACACCGGUGGCGAAGGCGGCUUUCUGGGCCUUACCUGACGCUGAGGAGCGAAAGCUGGGGGAGCAAACAGG